rnacentral:lncRNA from 1 species
GUAUGGGAGAGAGAAGAUAGAAGUAAACGUGGAAAACCUCAGUAAGAAUAUGCCUCAGUGAAUAUUCUACACCAUUGCCUCUUUUUUUAUAAGUACAAUAGGUGGUUGGAGAGAAACAGGAUCCACUAAAAUUCUUGAUUAUGUCAUGUGCUGCAAAGUAACACGCUUCUUAAAUGAAGAACAAAGGAGCCAUUAUGUGUCUGAUACUUUCAAAACUAGGAAUAUUUGAGUUUCUGUCAGAAGGAUCUAUUUCUGAAACAUUUGAAGACUUUCACCUUAAAAGCUUGGAUGCAUACAUUCCUUGAUAAGUCUUAGUCUUGGCUCCUGUUUGGUCUCUCUUUGGUGGGGUGAGAAGAGGGUUGAAGAGAAUGUUUGUCUUUCUCUGUGACAGGAAGGUAAAAACAAAAUCAACGGCCAAAUGACUCAACUGCGAUUGUGCCAGUGAGAACCUCAGGAGCCUAGCAGAAGAUAACGCUGGGAAGGGUUCAAGGAGCUAAGCCGAGAGUUUUGGCUGCCCACCACAGAUAUAUAAUGAAAAGGAAUUA